ACGAACGCUGGCGGCGUGCUUAACACAUGCAAGUCGAACGGAAAGGCCCUUCGGGGUACUCGAGUGGCGAACGGGUGAGUAACACGUGGGUGAUCUGCCCUGCACUUUGGGAUAAGCCUGGGAAACUGGGUCUAAUACCGAAUAUGAUCAUCGGCUUCAUGGUCGGUGGUGGAAAGCUUUUGCGGUGUGGGAUGGGCCCGCGGCCUAUCAGCUUGUUGGUGGGGUAAUGGCCUACCAAGGCGACGACGGGUAGCCGGCCUGAGAGGGUGACCGGCCACACUGGGACUGAGAUACGGCCCAGACUCCUACGGGAGGCAGCAGUGGGGAAUAUUGCACAAUGGGCGCAAGCCUGAUGCAGCGACGCCGCGUGGGGGAUGACGGCCUUCGGGUUGUAAACCUCUUUCAGCACAGACGAAGCGCAAGUGACGGUAGGUGCAGAAGAAGGACCGGCCAACUACGUG
rnacentral:rRNA from 1 species